GAUGCAAAUACAGCAGAUCACUCAAGGGAUGCUGAAACAUUAUUUGGUAUUCAAACAACUCUGGAAAAGUAUGAACAUCCAAUUUUGAAAAUGAACUAAAAGAUACUGAUUAUAAAGAAUUUAUGCAAUAUGCAAAUACAGCAGAUCGCUCAAGGGAUGCUGAAACAUUAUUUGGUAUUCAAACAACUCUGGAAAAGUAUGAACAUCCAAUUUUGAAAAUGAACUAACGAAUACUGAUUAUAAUGAAUUUAUGCAAAUUACAUAUUGCAAUACAGCAGACAAUGAAAGCCAUGGUGAGACAUGAAUUCGCGAUUCUAUCAGUUUGGAAAAUAUAAACAUCCUAUGUUGAAAAUGGACUAGAAGAUACUGAUAAUAAUAAUUGUUUUAUUCAACAUGCAAAUACAGCAGAUCACUCAAGGGAUGCUGAAACAUUAUUUGGUAUUCAAACAACUCUGGAAAAGUAUGAACAUCCAAUUUUGAAAAUGAACUAACGAAUACUGAUUAUAAAGAAUUUAUGCAAUGUACGUGUAAUGGU